rnacentral:siRNA from 1 species
CCAAGGAUGACUUGCCGA